rnacentral:lncRNA from 1 species
AACAAGAAAUGGUUUGUAAAAGCUAGUACUUAAAUAUAAGGAUGAGGUAAUUCAGGGUUUGGCCUUUUAUGAGUAACACACUCCCCUUUUGAAAUCCUAGGAAAGCUUUGGAACUCUAAAAAAAAGGUAGGUAUCCUCAGGACUGACUCAUGUUGAACCAAUUCUAUGAAGCUUAUGAGUGCCCUACAAAAAGGUUUACUUCAAACCUUUUGUACCACAAAUAGCUAAACAAAUACAAUCUCAGUAACUUGUCCUUUAUACCUGAGUGGCUCCAUAUGUAAACAAAUACCUGGAAUAACAAUGAAAGAAUAAGCAAAACACUGUAAUCUGUCAGAAAUGGACUGAGCAUCUAUAAGCAGUUACCAGUGUAUGAACUAAAGAAGGGAUAUAUUUGGAAAAUUCCUAAUUCUUGUUUGCUAAAUCAUACAUGUUAAGUUGAAAUCAGAAAUAGGCUUAAGUGUUAGGACGUACUGAGUCCAUUGUCUGAUUUCAGUUUUCAAAGCUGUUAUGUUCUGUAUAGAAGAAUCUGCAGUGACUGAAGCAGUUUGAAGUCUGAUAAUACAUUUACUGUCUCCUUAAAUUAUCAAAAAUGAAAGUAAAUUGAAAAGAUACAGAUCUAUAAGGAAAAUGAGAAGAAAAAUAAAGAUGAAAACUGGAAGAGAGCAAGAAUGGAAUAUAUGCUAGUGGAUAAAGAAAUGUGAAUGAGACUGAUUUAUCCAGAACAUAACAGACAGUAAAUACAUCAAAAUAGUAUUUAAAAAGAGGAAAAGAGGAAAAGAAGCUGGCAAAACAAGACAACCAUUGGGACUCUCCAUUGCCAGGAAAUUCUCAUUCCUCUGUCAUCAUGAAAUGAUGAAUGAUAUGAAUUUCAAAAGAGAAAAAGGCUGGAAUUUAAGGCAAAGCAAAGAGUAAGAGUUGAAACUGAACAGCUACUGCUCCCCUAUGACCCCACGUCUUCCCUCAGAACACAAAGCCUAUAUACUUCCCCGAUAUAACAGACUAGUUAUGCUAUAAGAUUAACACCAUGGUGAGGCCAAGGGAGGAUGCUGGUGGGAGUAGGUGGGGUCCUAGAGGUGAGUGGGGAGGAAUGAAGCAUAAACUGCUCUGUCUAAAUCAAGUCAUUACUUUAAAUACACAGUUAAGUUACCCUCUGCAGUGUACAAUUCAGUGUUCCUAGUGUCACAACAUAGUGUGCGCACACACACACACAAACUGAAUGUUUUAAAAAUUUUAUGUAUGUGAAUAAAUUUUAUGUAUGUGAAUACAUUGUGGCUCUCUUCAGACACACUAGACAGGGCAUCGGAUCCCAUUACAGGGAAUUGAACUCAGGACCUCUGGAAGAACAGUCAGUGCUCUUAACCACUGAGCCAUCUCUCCAGCCCCACAACAUUAUAUGUUAUCCCUCCUAAUUCUGUAACAUCUUCAUCUUCCUUCCCAGAAAAGUCCCUAACAUUUCUUGCCCCAUAUUUCCCUGCCUUUCCCCAUAACUCCCCCUUUCUAGGGUACAGGCAAGCACUGAUCUACUUGCUGUCCACUCCCCUCCACUACUGAAGGAGCUAUUUCUUAUCAGUUCAUGUAACACACACUGUGGACUGCUAAUCUACGUCAUAACACACACCACUCUUUCACUCCUUUCCUGCUACUAACAUUAUUUGCCCAAUUCACAAGUUGGCGGACAUUUGUGUGGUUCCAUCUUUUGCCAUUAUGAAUAAUGCUCAACAAUCACAUACUACUUUUUGAGUCAAUAUAUGUUUUCAAUGUUUCUCUGAGACAGGAUUGAUGUGUAAGCCAUGCCGGUCUUGAACUUACAAUCUGAUCUCAGCCUUCAGAAUGCUGGCCAUGCACAGCUUGUUUCAGUUUUCCUGAGUGUAUACAUAGGAAUGAAACUGCCUGCUGUGUCAUAUAGUUAAUGUGUUCAGUCUUGGAAGGGAAUGGGAAUUGGGUCUAAUUGGUGUGUUCUAAAAAAUGCUAUUUCAUAUUAAUUCCCCAUAAGCAAUGAACAUGGAUUGUAAUUUCUCUGUAUCCUAGACAACAUUUAUUAAAAAUAUUAUAGCCACUCU